AUGGAGCUGUUCCAGGACGGCCAGCACGUGCGGCUGCGGAGCCGCGGGCGCGGGACGUACCUGCACGCCGACGACGACGGGCUUGGCGUCUCCCUCCGCCGGCUCCACGCGUCGAUGAACGUGGCUUGGGCGGUGCACUUGUACCAGGGCCACUACCUGCUCCUCCAGAGCGCCGCCUACGGUGGCUACCUCGCCGCCACGGCCGCGCCGGCGCGGCGCGGCCACCGCGGGCGCCGCGUCGAGCAGCGCAACUACUAUCACUCGGAGGUGGAUCUAAUGCUUUGGCAGGCCGUCCAGAUGGAGAACCUCUUCCUCAAUAGCAUCAACGGCGGAAACCUCCGCGCCAACCGGAGGUACCGCCCCUGGAACAACGGCGUCAGCGUCGACCACAUCGACGACAUCAACAACAUCAGCACCAUGAUGCACUGGGUCGUGGAGGUCAUCCCCGCCAGGGAGAUCAUACCUCGCCUUCCACGUCCGUCUCCGCUUCCCGACCUCUUAUUGCGGCCGCGGCUGAUCUUGUACGUGUGGCCGAACAUCCACGGGGGCCUCAUCACCCACGGCACGUUCGUGUUCGGUGGGAGGUCCGUGUUCCGCCUGAGGAGCGAGCUGGCUAGGCGGCUGGGCGACCUCGCAAUCAUGGACCUGGAGGUCGCCGACCUCGUCAUGUGCUUGCCCACGUAUGAUGGCCGGCUUAUUCCACUGGUCGUGGAUCUGCCCCGCAGCGGCGAGACCCUCCACAUCGUGGUCGUCAUCGUCGGGUCACCUGCCUACAUGGCGCUGCAGUACGCGGAUGUCGAUGCAUAG
rnacentral:rRNA from 1 species